GGAGAGGUGGCAGAGCGGUUGAAUGCGCUGCACUCGAAAUGCAGUUUAGGGAAACCUAACGAGGGUUCGAAUCCCUCCCUCUCCG
rnacentral:tRNA from 1 species